CUUAAAAAAAUUAUAAUUGAACAAUAAGACAUUAACGGAACAAAAUAAAACAAACCAAUGUGGAUCCCAAACAGAAAGUGAAGGACUGGAGAGCUAGCAGAAAAGUUCCGGGGUCAGAGUGCACGUUGGGCGGGGUUGCGUUUUGUUCUCUAGCCGCACCGCUCAUUCCUGUAUCGUUGGCCGUUGGUUCGUUGCGCAGUGAAAAACAUGCAGAGAUGAAGAGCGAUGGAGUGAAGGAGAGAAACGGAAAGUUUUCCCAGAGCUACACCUGUUUCCCCUAUCUGCAGCCCAAGUUCAGCAGCCCAAAGUGUUGAAUGAAUCCCAAUGCUGGUCUGGUCUCUGCCUGCCUGUCUUUAAGUUGAACAGCAGGGGGCACUGUCCCGUCAAGUUGUCCUCCCAAUCAAUCAGAAUGGAGGAGUGGAAAGAGGGAUAGAGGGAGAUGUUUUGUCUUUUUAUCUGCUCAGGCUAACUGGUAAGCUGUCCCUCUUCCGACGCCGCCAGGUGUUGCGGUACUGUGUAUGAGAGUGUGUGUGGGCGUGUGUGAGAGGGUGGGUGUGUGCACGGUUGGCCAGGGCGGGACUGUGGACCACGGCUGGAUUGUGGAAGCCUUUCAUCUGACACUUGGGACCGUUCUGGAGAGAGAAAAAGGUUGUCAUGUUAUAUCAUAUGCUGAUUUUGGGGCUACAGUUGUAAAAGGUAGGCCUUAACCUCAAUGAGACGGAGCUGCUCUUCCUUCCGGGGAAGGCCUGCCGGCUCAGACUCCAUUAUCACCCUCCCAGAGUGCAAAUAACCUUGCCGUUACCCUGGACAACACCCUAUCCUUCUCUGCAAAAAUCAGAGCAGUGACUCGCUUCUGCAGGUUCAUGCUCUACAUCACCACAAGAAGCGGUGCAGGUCCUAAUCGAGGUCCACCCCUGUCUGGACUACUGCAACUCACUGUUGCCUGGGCUCCCCGCUUCUGCCAUCAAACCCCUGCAACUUAUCCAGAACGCAACAGCCUGCCAAAAUCAACAUGCCUUAAUUCUCUCAUGUCAUCCUGCUCCUCAGUACACUCUGGCUUCCAGUCGAAGCUCGCAUCCACUACAAGACCAUGGUGCAUACCUACGGAACAGCAAGAGCUGCCCAUCCAUACCUUCAGGAUAUGCUCAAACCCCACGUCCCAACCCGAGCACUCCGUUCUGCCACCUCAGGUCUCUUUCUAUGACUGAUGUGGGUUUUCCCACCUAGCUAGAGUAACCUAAGAUGAACGCACUAAGUCCAUCUGAUAAAAUGACUUAAAUGUAAAUGUAAAAUGACUCAAAUGUAAAUGUUUAGGCAAAGUAACCCUAUCAAAAUGGAAAGCUCCUUGAAAGAGGUAAUAUAACAGGGCUAUUGGCCCAAAUUCAAUUAUGACCUAUUGUAGAUAGAAUGAAAAUUAAACUUGCGAGCAGAUGUUUUUGUUCAUAAAUACUUUGCUACAAUGAUACACAUCAUUCCUUUGUUAGUGUACUUACUAUGUGAAUGUGCUAUCAUGCUUUCGGGAUGAGUCUUUUCAGAUUCACCAAUUAUCCUUUAGUUGUAGAUAGUACAUCAAACUUACUCUGGCUCCUCUUUGUAAGUUACUGUGAUUUUGCACCUGUGGAUUUUAUUGGUUUAAUUAUGAAAAUAUGUAGUAAACUCCAUGACAGUAGUUAAAGCAAGGGGCUAUAGCAGCACACAAGUAGACUACAAUUGUAUGCUGGGCCAGGCAUGCCCUGACCUUGUGAAGUGAGCACUACUGGUGUGAAAUCAGAGUGGGCAAGAAGGCUGAUGCUCCAGCCUUUGGGAAACUCGCCCGUGCUCCAAUCAAAUUGGGCACGCUCUGUUCCUCGCUCCGCUCACAUACUCUGCACCACUCUGACCCACUGUGCCAUACUCAUUAGUAUUAUGGAAAGUAGUGAUGAGCGAUGAACCACCAUGUCAUUUUUUUAUCGGUUAUUAAACUAGUUUAACCUGAAGAGAGUUGUAGUUUUCAUUAAGCAAAUAGUCAUCAAGUUUCUGUGCUGAAUAACUACAAUGACCAUAU